rnacentral:rRNA from 1 species
ACGCUCGACACCUACGGGAGGCGGCAGUGGGGAAUAUUGCACAAUGGGGGAAACCCUGAUGCAGCGACGCCGCGUGGAGGAAGAAGGUCUUCGGAUUGUAAACUCCUGUUGUUGGGGAAAAAGAGGAUGGUACCCAACAAGGAAGUGACGGCUAACUACGUGCCAGUAGCCGCGGUAAUCUGAGCGGGCGUGGCGAAGGCG